AUGUUUGUUUCAGCAUCACUUAUACCCAAAUUAGAAUGAUACAAAGAAUAUUAGCAUGGCUUCUAUACAAGGAUGACAUGCAAAUUUGUGAAAUGUUUUAUAUUUUA
ensembl:snRNA U6 U6 spliceosomal RNA